GUACUGAUGAAGAGUCCCAAACUAGGACGAAACAGCCGUCCACUAC
rnacentral:hammerhead_ribozyme from 1 species